rnacentral:rRNA from 1 species
GACGGGUGAGUAACACGUGGUCAACCUACCUCAGCGUGGGGGAUAACUAGCCGAAAGGUUAGCUAAUACCGCAUACGAUCGCUAAGUGGCAUCACAUGGCGAUGAAAGGAGCAAUCCGCGCAGAGAGGGGACUGCGUCCCAUUAGUUAGUUGGUGGGGUAAUGGCCUACCAAGACUCCGAUGGGUAGCUGGCUUGAGAGAGCGACCAGCCACACUGGAACUGAGACACGGUCCAGACUCCUACGGGAGGCAGCAGUGAGGAAUUUUCCGCAAUGGGCGAAAGCCUGACGGAGCGACGCCGCGUGUGGGAAGAAGGCCUUCGGGUCGUAAACCACUGUCGAGGGGGACGAUAUUGACGGUACCCCUGGAGGAAGCCCCGGCUAACUACGUGCCAGCACCGC